rnacentral:tRNA from 1 species
UCCCAUGUGGUCAGGUGGUUAUGAUUCGUGGUUUUCACCCACGCGUAAUGGGUUCGAUUCCCGGUUUGGGAA